rnacentral:misc_RNA from 1 species
AAGUCGUAACAAGGUUUCCGUAGGUGAACCUGCGGAAGGAUCAUUAUUGAAUAAACAGUGUGGGUUGUUGCUGGCCUUCUGGCAUGUGCACGCCUGCCAUAUGUUUCAUUCUCUUCUUUCCACCUGUGCACUAUGUGUAGGCUAUGUAUGCUGUAUUGUCAGGCCUUCAUCAGGCUUGGUUUAGAGAGGAUGCUUGUCUUCAUGAGACAGGCUCAUCUUGGGCGUACAGGUCUAUGUUUUACACCAACACCAAAUGAAUGUCUUAGAAUGUAUUUUUUCAGGCUCUUGCUAGCCUUUAAACCAUAUACAACUUUCAACAACGGAUCUCUUGGCUCUC